UGGUAAUUGAAAUGUCAUUACACUAUUUAGGUCCCUCGGCUUGUGGAAGGACUGAAUGGUCAUAAUUGUUCCCAAGUGGCAGCUGCUAAGGAUCAUACUGUUGUAUUAACUGAAGAUGGAUGUGUUUAUACAUUUGGUCUAAACAUUUUUCAUCAAUUAGGAAUUAUUCCACCGCCUUCCAGUUGUAAUGUACCCAGACAGAUACAGGCAAAAUAUCUGAAAGGAAGGACAAUCAUUGGCAUUGCAGCAGGCAGGUUUCAUACAGUCCUAUGGACUAGAGAAGCUGUUUACACUAUGGGACUAAAUGGUGG
rnacentral:lncRNA from 1 species